CCCUUAGAUGUUCUGGGCUGCACACGCGCUACACUGAAGGGAUCAGCGUGUUCUUUUCCUGGUCCGAAAGGAUCGGGUAACCCGCUGAACCCCCUUCGUGGUAGGGAUCGGAGCUUGCAAUUAUUCUCCGUGAACCAGGAAUUCCCAGUAAGCGCAAGUCAUAAGCUUGCGUUGAUUACGUCCCUGCCCUUUGUACACACCGCCCGUCGCUACUACCGAUUGGACGUUUUAGUGAGGAUUUUGGACUGAGCCAAUGGUGGUUCACACCACUGUUGUGCAUGGAAAGAUUUCCAAACUUGAGCGUUUAGAGGAAGUAAAAGUCGUANCA
rnacentral:rRNA from 1 species